GAAGCAUCCUCCUGCUGGCAUCGCCAUGGCCACCAUGCUCCUCUGCUGUGUGGCCCUGUGUCUUCUGGGAGUAGGGCCCACAGAUGCUGGAGUCACCCAGACCCCUAGGCAUGAGGUGACAGAAAAGGGACAGGCAGUCACUCUGAGUUGUGAGCCGAUUAAAAGCCACGCUGCCCUUUAUUGGUACAGACAGACCUCAGUGCGGGGACUGGAGUUACUGAUUUAUUUCAACAACCAAGAGCCUGUGGAUGAGUCGGGGAUGCCCAAGGACCGAUUCUCAGCUAAGAUGCCUAACGCGUCACUCUCCACUCUGAAGAUCCAGCCCACUGAUCCUGGGGACUCGGCCACGUACCUCUGUGCCAGCAGCAAAGACACAGCGCCGCAGAAUCGCUCCUUCCUGAGCAGAAAACCUCUGCUUCCCCUUCCGGCUCAGGCCCUAGCGUCAUCAGCUGUCUUCCUAGGCUUCACCCCUAGCAGCCCAGCACCUCAGUGUUCUAAUGACCCUAGGGAAGCCGCCACGCACACUGGGGUCACUGACUCUGCCAUCGCCAGCUGCUGCGAGCUGACAAACACUGACGCCUAA